rnacentral:rRNA from 1 species
AUUGAACGCUGGCGGCAGGCCUAACACAUGCAAGUCGAACGGUAACAGGAAGCAGCUUGCUGCUUCGCUGACGAGUGGCGGACGGGUGAGUAAUGUCUGGGAAACUGCCUGAUGGAGGGGGAUAACUACUGGAAACGGUAGCUAAUACCGCAUAAUGUCGCAAGACCAAAGAGGGGGACCUUCGGGCCUCUUGCCAUCGGAUGUGCCCAGAUGGGAUUAGCUAGUAGGUGGGGUAACGGCUCACCUAGGCGACGAUCCCUAGCUGGUCUGAGAGGAUGACCAGCCACACUGGAACUGAGACACGGUCCAGACUCCUACGGGAGGCAGCAGUGGGGAAUAUUGCACAAUGGCGCAAGCCUGAUGCAGCCAUGCCGCGUGUAUGAAGAAGGCCUUCGGGUUGUAAAGUACUUUCAGCGGGGAGGAAGGGAGUAAAGUUAAUACCUUUGCUCAUUGACGUUACCCGCAGAAGAAGCACCGGCUAACUCCGUGCCAGCAGCCGCAGUAA